AUUGAACGCUGGCGGCAGGCCUAACACAUGCAAGUCGAUCGAGUGGCGGACGGGUGAGUAAUGUCUGGGAAACUGCCUGAUGGAGGGGGAUAACUACUGGAAACGGUAGCUAAUCCCGCAUACCAUCGGAUGUGCCCAGAUGGGAUGAGCUAGUAGGGGGGGUAACGGCGCACCUAGGCGACGAUCCCUAGCUGGUCUGAGAGGCGGACCAGCCAGACUGAAACUGAGACACGGUCCAGACUCCUACGUGAGGCAGCAGUGGGGAAUAUUGCACAAUGGGCGCAAGCCGGAUGCAGCCAUGCCGCGGGUAUGAAGAAGGCCUGCGGGUUGUAAAGUACUUUCAGCGGGGAGGCGUUACCCGCAGAAGAAGCACCGGCUAACUCCGUGCCAGCAGCCGCGGUAAUUC
rnacentral:rRNA from 1 species